rnacentral:lncRNA from 1 species
AGCGAACGGAGGGAGUGAAAGAAACGCGCUUUCGCGAAGUGCGCUGCCGCGCAUUUUCCGUCAACCUGGAGCAUGAAAAUUACAAGCUGGGGGUGAGGAUUUCUGAGUUUAACGUAUGGAGGUAUAAUGAAACUUGGCUGCUGAGUGGCACCAUGACACCGGACGCAGCUGCAGAUGUCUUCGCCUGAUUCCAAACUGCGCGGGGGGUCAAGGCACUACUGUCCUCAGUGCCACGGCAAGCCAGACCCACAUCAUCAAGCAGUCACUGGAACACCGGCACAGAGCUAGAGGCCGCUCCCGUGACGACCAUUGUCGCGACUAUCAUGACCACUCCCGCGACUAUCGUGACAAACCCCCGCGACAACCACUGUCAAACUGUAAAUGAAGCUGUGAUAAACCUAAGUGGAAGCACGCAUUCGCGAACAGUGCCGACUCGGAACAUACUGAAGCCAACAUUUUGAUUUUCU